CUCUUAUCCAGAGUUGGCGGAGGGACGGGCCCGAUGAUGCCGCGGCAACCGGUCGGAACACCGGCACGGUGCCAAUUCCUGCGGGGAGACCCCGGAAGAUGAGAG
rnacentral:ncRNA from 3 species